GGCCCCGUAGCUCAACUGGAUAGAGCAGCGGACUUCUAAUCCGCAGGCUGCAGGUUCGAACCCUGCCGGGGUCG
rnacentral:tRNA from 1 species